UACCAGCACCCCGAGUGGUCGGGACGAUUAUUGGGCCUAAAGCAUCCGUAGCCGGUUUUACAAGUCUUCCGUUAAAUCCAGCCGCUCAACGGAUGGGCCGCGGAGGAUACUGUAGAACUAGGAGGCGGGAGAGGCAAGCGGUACUUAGUGGGUAGGGGUAAAAUCCACUGAUCCACUGAAGACCACCAGUGGCGAAGGCGGCUUGCCGGAACGCGCUCGACGGUGAGGGAUGAAAGCUGGGGGAGCAAACCGG
rnacentral:rRNA from 1 species